UUUCUGUUAGCAUAAUAGUGCGCUAAAUUUAGGAUUUAAUUACAAGAUGAUCUUCUUCUUACAGAAGA
rnacentral:tRNA from 1 species